GACGAACCGCGCGAACGUUGUUCGGAAUCACUGGGCUUAAAGGGCGCGUAGGCGGGCCCCCUUGUCCGGGGUGAAAGCUUUCGGCUUAACCGGAAAAGUGCCCCGGAAACGGGGGGCCUGGAGGGAGGUAGGGGCGGCCGGAACUUCCGGUGGAGCGGUGAAAUGCGUUGAUAUCGGAAGGAACGCCGGUGGCGAAAGCGGGCCGCUGGACCUCUACUGACGCUGAGGCGCGAAAGCCAGGGGAGCGAACGGG
rnacentral:rRNA from 1 species